rnacentral:rRNA from 1 species
UGAACGCUGGCGGCAUGCUUUCCACAUGCAAGUCGCACGGCAGCGCGGGCUUCGGCCUGGCGGCGAGUGGCGCACGGGUGAGUAAUGCAUCGGAACGUGCCCAGUAGUGGGGGAUAGCCCGGCGAAAGCCGGAUUAAUACCGCAUACGACCUGAGGGUGAAAGCGGGGGACCGAAAGGCCUCGCGCUAUUGGAGCGGCCGAUGUCGGAUUAGCUAGUUGGUGGGGUAAAGGCUUACCAAGGCGACGAUCCGUAGCUGGUCUGAGAGGACGACCAGCCACACUGGGACUGAGACACGGCCCAGACUCCUACGGGAGGCAGCAGUGGGGAAUUUUGGACAAUGGGGGCAACCCUGAUCCAGCCAUGCCGCGUGCGGGAAGAAGGCCUUCGGGUUGUAAACCGCUUUUGUUCGGGAAGAAAUCCUCUGGGCUAAUACCCCGGGGGGAUGACGGUACCGGAAGAAUAAGCACCGGCUAACUACGUG